AUUCACUGUAAUAAGACCGCGCGUGUGUUCCCAGACAUAGUUCUUGACCUACCUAGGUCUGGUCUUGGAAAUACUGGUGAUAAAU
rnacentral:snoRNA from 1 species